rnacentral:tRNA from 1 species
UUCCUCUGUAGUUCAGUCGGUAGAACGGCGGACUGUUAAUCCGUAUGUCACUGGUUCGAGUCCAGUCAGAG